GAUGAACGCUGGCGGCGUGCCUAAUACAUGCAAGUCGAGCGAACGGACGAGAAGCUUGCUUCACUGAUGUUAGCGGCGGACGGGUGAGUAAAACGUGGAUAACCUACCUAUAAGACUGGGAUAACUUCGGGAAACCGGAGCUAAUACCGGAUAAUAUUUUGAACCGCAUGGUUCAAAAGUGAAAGACGGUCUUGCUGUCACUUAUAGAUGGAUCCGCGCUGCAUUAGCUAGUUGGUAAGGUAACGGCUUACCAAGGCAACGAUGCAUAGCCGACCUGAGAGGGUGAUCGGCCACACUGGAACUGAGACACGGUCCAGACUCCUACGGGAGGCAGCAGUAGGGAAUCUUCCGCAAUGGGCGAAAGCCUGACGGAGCAACGCCGCGUGAGUGAUGAAGGUCUUCGGAUCGUAAAACUCUGUUAUUAGGGAAGAACAUAUGUGUAAGUAACUGUGCACAUCUUGACGGUACCUAAUCAGAAAGCCACGGCUAACUACGUG
rnacentral:rRNA from 1 species